rnacentral:rRNA from 1 species
GAUGAAUGCUAGCGGCAGGCUUAACACAUGCAAGUCGAGGGGUAGAGUUAGCUUGCUAACUUGAGACCGGCGCACGGGUGCGUUACGCGUAUGCAACCUACCUUGAACAGGGGGAUAGCCCAGAGAAAUUUGGAUUAAUACCCCAUGGUAUUAUUGGAUGGCAUCAUUUGAUAAUUAAAGUUCCAACGGUUCAAGAUGGG